rnacentral:lncRNA from 1 species
CUUUUCCGGCUUGCUUUUCGCCGGUUCUAGCCCUAGCCCAAGUUCCACGUCGCCGCCGCCUGCCGAGCCGGCUCCCUGGAACAGCAAAGUGCACCCGUCGAUGCCCACUUCAGCCCCGGAAUCAUUGACGACCUGAGUCCUCCGGGUUUCCUAGAACGGCUCCGGGGAUGAACUUCCGCUCCGCGAUCUGCCGCUCUGCGCCCUCGUGUCGCUCCCCAAGCAUUGCUCUAGGCUCAAGAACUCGAGAAUCCGCUUCGCAUUCCCGCGGGGACCGUUUGCGCGACCCUUUUAACUCUCCCAACCCGCAUCGUUCUUAUCCCAUCCUUCCUUUCCACAGACUCCGUGGGUCUGAUAAGCACAGGGCUGCAGAUCCUGGGAACAGGUCUCUCCUCGGCGGGAGCGAAGGGAGACAUGCUUUGAGUUCCGGAAGGGCUUGCAGGAGUGACGUUUGGCCUGAAAUCUCAAGAUUGCGUGGGAAUUACCAAGGCCCAGAAAUCACUUUCUGUUUCCCUACUCAGCUUGUCUACCAUUUUCCACGGUUGCCAUUGCAACCUUCCUCACUCUGCUCAAAACUUUCUCCAAGCCGUGAUCCAAGAAAAGUCCAUUUCCAUCAAAAUCAUUGCAAGCUACAUUUAUCCCAAGGAAAGACGCCCAGACUACAAAAAUAUCCUGCCGCAGAACCAAGGGUGGAAGAUAUUUGGUUUUACUGAGCUUUAUCUAGUACACCUGCAUUAAUGGGUGUCUGCCUCAAGAGCCUAAAUCGUGAUUCUCAACCUUGACUGUGGGGAAAAGCAAGAGAGAUCAGAUUGUUACUGUGUCUGUGUAGAAAGAAGUAGACAUAGGAGACUCCAUUUUGUUCUGUACUAAGAAAAAUUCUUCUGCCUUGAGAUUCUGUUAAUCUAUAACCUUACCCCCAACCCCGUGCUCUCUGAAACAUGUGCUGUGUCAACUCAGAGUUGAAUGGAUUAAGGGCGGUGCAAGAUGUGCUUUGUUAAACAGAUGCCUGAAGGCAGCAUGCUCCUUAAGAGUCAUCACCACUCCCUAAUCUCAAGUACCCAGGGACACAAAAACUGCGGAAGGCCGCAGGGACCUCUGCCUAGGAAAGCCAGGUAUUGUCCAAGGUUUCUCCCCAUGUGGUAGUCUGAAAUAUGGCCUCGUGGGAAGGGAAAGACCUGACCAUCCCCCAGCCCGACACCCGUAAAGGGUCUGUGCUGAGGAGGAUUAGUAUAAGAGGAAGGAAUGCCUCUUGCAGUUGAGACAAGAGGAAGGCAUCUGUCUCCUGCCUGUCCCUGGGCAAUGGAAUGUCUCGGUAUAAAACCCGAUUGUAUGCUCCAUCUACUGAGAUAGGGAAAAACUGCCUUAGGGCUGGAGUGGGACCUGCGGGCAGCAAUACUGCUUUGUAAAGCAUUGAGAUGUUUAUGUGUAUGCAUAUC